rnacentral:rRNA from 1 species
UUGGAACUGCAUUCAAGAGCUUGCGAAGUAGAGUAUGGUAGAAGUGAGUGACAUUUCCUGUGUAGCGGUGAAAUGCGUAGAGAUGGGAACGAACAUCAGUGGCGAAGGCGACUCACUGUACCAAUACUGACACUGAGGUACGAAAGCGUGGGUAGCAAACAGGAUUAGAUACCUUGGUAGUCCACGCCGUAAACGAUGUCUACUAGCCGUUGGGGUCCUUGAGACUUUAGUGGCGCAGCUAACGCACUAAGUAGACCGCCUGGGGAGUACGGUCGCAAGAUUAAAACUCAAAUGAAUUGACGGGGGCCCGCACAAGCGGUGGAGCAUGUGGUUUAAUUCGAAGCAACGCGAAGAACCUUACCUACUCUUGACAUCCAGAGAAUUUAGCAGAGAUGCUUUAGUGCCUUCGGGAACUCUGAGACAGGUGCUGCAUGGCUGUUGUCAGCUCGUGUUGUGAAAUGUUGGGUUAAGUCCCGUAACGAGCGCAACCCUUGUCCUUAGUUACUAACAUUAAGUUGAGAACUCUAAGGAGACUGCCGGUGACAAACCGGAGGAAGGCGGGGACGACGUCAAGUCAUCAUGGCCCUUACGAGUAGGGCUACACACGUGCUACAAUGGCCAGUACAAAGGGUUGCCAAGCCGCGAGGUGGAGCUAAUCCCAGAAAGCUGGUCGUAGUCCGGAUCGGAGUCUGCAACUCGACUCCGUGAAGUCGGAAUCGCUAGUAAUCGUGAAUCAGAAUGUCACGGUGAAUACGUUCCCGGGCCUUGUACACACCGCCCGUCACACCACGGGAUUGGCUUGUUCCAGAAGUCGAGAGUCUGCAAGUCGGACAAGUAACCACUAGAGU